rnacentral:lncRNA from 1 species
CUGGGGAGAGACGGCGUGGGAGUCCAGCUGAAAGCUGACGUGUGGAGCUGUGGGCUCGGAGCGGGAAACCACUAUCUGCAUGAAGCGGCCCUCUGAAGUUCCCAGGUUGGCAAUGGUAAGGUUCCCUUUGGUGAAGACAGAUAUCGAAGUUAACAGGAUGUUGUUGAACUGGCCCAUGAACAAGUCAACCCUCUGCAAGGGAGUCGUAACUUCUAAG